AAAAAACUUUCCACGUGAACCGUUUCAACCCAAUAGUUGGGGGUCUUAUUUGGCGGCGGCUGCUGGCUUAAUUGUUGGCGGCUGCUGCUGAGUGAGCCCUAUCAAAAAAAAGGCGAACGUUUGGGCUUCGGCCUGAUUUAGUAGUCUUUUUUUCUUUUAAACCCAUUCCUUAAUACUGAAUAUACUGUGGGGACGAAAGUCUCUGCUUUUAACUAGAUAGCAACUUUCAGCAGUGGAUGUCUAGGCUCGCACAUCGAUGAAGAACGCUGCGAACUGCGAUACGUAAUGCGAAUUGCAGGAUUCAGUGAGUCAUCGAAAUUUUGAACGCAUAUUGCACUUCCGGGUUAGUCCUGGAAGUAUGCCUGUAUCAGUGUCCGUACAUUAAACUUGACUUUCUUCCUUCCGUGUAGUCGGUGGAGGAGAUGUCAGAUGUGAAGUGUCUUGCGAUUGGUCUUCGGACCGGCUGCGAGUCCUUUUAAAUGUACUAAACUGAACUUCUCUUUGCUCGAAAAGUGGUGGCGUUGCUGGUUGUGAAGGCUGCUAUUGUGGCAAAUUGGCGACUGGUUUGUCUGCUGCGGCGUUAAUGGAAGAGUGUUCGAUUCGUGGUAUGGUUGGCUUCGGCUGAACAAUGCACUUAUUGGACGUUUUUCCUGCUGUGGCGUGAUGGACUGGUGAACCAUAGCUCGGUGGCUUGGCUUUUGAAUUGGCUUUGCUGUUGCGAAGUAGGGUGGCAGCUUCGGUUGUCGAGGGUCGAUCCAUUUGGGAACUUAAUGUGUACUUCGGUAUGCAUCUCAA
rnacentral:rRNA from 1 species